rnacentral:rRNA from 1 species
GGUAAAGGCCUACCAAGACUUCGAUGGUUAGCUGGUCUGAGAGGAUGAUCAGCCACACUGGAACUGACACACGGUCCAGACUCCUACGGGAGGCAGCAGUGAGGAAUUUUGCGCAAUGGGGGAAACCCUGACGCAGCAACGCCGCGUGAGUGAAGAAGGCCCUUGGGUCGUAAAGCUCUGUCGACAGGGAAGAAAUUGACAUCAUCCAAUAGGUGUUGUUAUUGACGGUACCUGUAGAGGAAGCACCGGCUAACUCCGUGCCAGCAGCCGCGGUAAUACGGGGGGUGCAAGCGUUAUUCGGAAUUAUUGGGCGUAAAGGGCGCGUAGGCGGUCUUGUCGGUCAGGUGUGAAAGCCCAGGGCUCAACCCUGGACGUGCAUUUGAGACAGCAAGACUUGAGUACGGGAGAGGAGAGCGGAAUUCCUGGUGUAGAGGUGAAAUUCGUAGAUAUCAGGAGGAACACCGAUGGCGAAGGCAGCUCUCUGGACCGAUAUUGACGCUGAGGCGCGAAGGCGUGGGUAGCGAACGGGAUUAGAUACCCCGGUAGUCCACGCAGUAAACGUUGUACACUCGGUGUGCCGGAUAUUAAAAUCUGGUGUGCCCAAGUUAACACAUUAAGUGUACCGCCUGGGGAGUACGGUCGCAAGACUAAAACUCAAAGGAAUUGACGGGGGCCCGCACAAGCGGUGGAGCAUGUGGUUUAAUUCGACAACGCGAAGAACCUUACCUGGAUUUGACAUCCUGUGAAUAUCUUGUAAUUGAGAUAGUGCCUUCGGGAGCACAGUGGCAGGUGCUGCAUGGCUGUCGUCAGCUCGUGUCGUGAGAUGUUUGGUUAAGUCCAGCAACGAGCGCAACCCUUAUCUUCAGUUGCCAGCGCGUAAUGGCGGGAACUCUGGAGAGACUGCCCGGGUUAACCGGGAGGAAGGCGGGGAUGACGUCAAGUCCUCAUGGCCCUUAUAUCCAGGGCUACACACGUGCUACAAUGGUAAAUACAGAGGGCAGCGAGCCAGCGAUGGUGAGCGAAUCCCUAAAGUUUAUCUCAGUCCGGAUUGGAGUCUGCAACUCGACUCCAUGAAGUUGGAAUCGCUAGUAAUCGUGGAUCAGCAUGCCACGGUGAAUAUGUUCCCGGGCCUUGUACACACCGCCCGUCACACCAUGGGAGUUGAUUAUACCCGACGUCGCUGGGCUAACCCUUCGGGGGGGCAGGCGCCUAAGGUAUGGUUGAUAACUGGGGUGAAGUCGUAACAAGGUA